rnacentral:misc_RNA from 1 species
GAUGAAGAGCGUAGCGAAAUGCGAUACGUAAUGUGAAUUGCAGAAUUCAGUGAAUCAUCGAAUCUUUGAACGCAUAUUGCGCUCUCUGGUAUUCCGGAGAGCAUGCUUGUUUGAGUAUCAGUAAACACCUCAACUCCCUUUUCUUUUUUGAAAUUGGAGCUGGACUUGAGUGAUCCCAACGCUUUCUUCCAAGAAAGUGGCGGGUUGCUUGAAAUGCAGGUGCAGCUGAACUUUUCUCUGAGCUAUAAGCAUAUCUAUUUAGUCUGCCUAAAAAACAGAUUAUUACCUUUGCUGCAGCUAACAUAAAGGAGACUAGUUCUUGUGCUGACUGAUGCAGGAUUCACAGAGACAGCUUCGGCUGACUUUGUAAACUCGAUCUCAAAUCAAGUAAGACUACCCGCUGAACUUAAGCAUAUCAAUAAGCGGAGGA